CCGCCCCCUAGUUAAUCCUGGGGCUCAGGGUGAUGCUGCAGAGGUGAAGCACAGACCUUUGAAUGGCUCCGUGUCUAGGGUCUUGGGACAGGGAGAAGAACAAUAUGCAGGGGAAAGACACAGCAGGGACACGGAGAAUGGAGCCAAGUGGGGGAAAGGCAGAAGAGAGGGAACCAAAGAAAGACAGGGAAGGAGGAAGAGACGGAGAGCGAGAAGCCAUGACACAUAGAAACUGAGCGAUGGAAAGAGACCCCGACAGAUGGAGGAUAAGGAGAGUGACACUGGGGAACAGACAGAAGGCAA
rnacentral:lncRNA from 1 species